rnacentral:rRNA from 1 species
GACGAACCGUCCAAACGUUACUCGGAAUUACUGGGCUUAAAGGGUGCGUAGGCGGCUUUGCAAGUCGGAUGUGAAAUACCCCGGCUUAACCGAGGAACUGCAUUCGAAACUGUAAAGCUCGAGAGAGAUAGAGGUGAGCGGAACUUGGGGUGGAGCGGUGAAAUGCGUUGAUAUCCCAAGGAACACCGGAGGCGAAAGCGGCUCACUGGGUCUUUUCUGACGCUGAGGCACGAAAGCUAGGGGAGCAAACGGG